rnacentral:tRNA from 2 species
GACGAGGUGGCCAAGUGAUUUAAGGUGAUGGGUUGUUAAUCCAUUGUGCUCUGCACGCGUGGGUUCGAAUCCCAUCCUUGUCG